UGUAAUGCUUCUGCUCAACCGGCGGAUUGCAUCAGAAACUGUUGAACUUGAGUGCAGAAGAGGAGAGUGGAACUCCAUGUGUAGCGGUGGAAUGCGUAGAUAUAUGGGAGAACACCAGUGGCGAAGGCGGCUCUCUGGUCUGCAACUGACGCUGAGGCUCGAAAGCAUGGGUAGCGA
rnacentral:rRNA from 1 species